AGUAACUAAAUCCCCAGGAUCCACGGGGCACAUUUUUUUAGGCAUGGCUGGCCUCCCCACUCCACCCUCAGAUGAGUCAUUCAACAGGAGAUAAGCCCAGGGGGAUGAGUUGACAUUCUGUGGGCAAAAAGGCACAUACCAGGAUUCGGGGAGAUCCAGACCACGUCUUGACCCACAAAGAAACACUGAUGUCAGACAGGGUGAUACCAAGGGCAACAGCUAAGAGAACCAUUGGAUGAAGGUCAAGGUGAUAUGGGGCGAGCAGGCCUGCUGGCAUCCUUCACAAGGAGGAGCACAAUGUAUGGGCGACAUUGAGGAGGGAGGCCUGACAUAAGGAGUCGAUGGGUUUGCUUGUUGCAGAAAGUUUGCCAAGUUGAAGAAAUAUCCUGAAAGAUGAACAAAAUUGGCCAACCUUUAGCCAGACACACCAAGAAAAAAAAGAGAGAGAAUGCAAAUAAA